rnacentral:lncRNA from 1 species
UUUGCCUUCUCUUGUUCACAUAUUAACUGCUUGUCAGGUACUAGGCAUGCAUUACUUCACUUUUAAAUUAAUUAACUUGUAUGAUCACCCACCUCCAAGCUGACCUCCAACAAUUCUCACCUCCUGGUAGUCACGCCCUUGGGUUGUCCCCUCCACACAGAAUAGGGCUGAGCUGUGUCACCAAGAAAAGUGUGGGAAUGAUGGAGUGUGGCUUCCAAGACUGUAUCAUUAAAGACAGUGCAGCUUGGCCCUGCUCUCUCUCAGAUCACUUGCGCUGGGGAAGUCAGUGGCCAUGUGGUGCCUUAAGGAGACUCAAGCAGCCCUAUGGAGAUGCCACAUGACGAAGAACUAAGGCCUCCUGCCAAAAGCCAGCAUCCACUUGCCAGUCAUGUGAGUGAGUCAUCUUGGAAACAGCUCCUCCAGCCUCAGUCAAGCUUCAGAGGCAUCCCUGGAUGACACCUUGACUGCAACCUGCAGGACCACCCGGCUGAGCAGCACCCAAAUUCCUGACCCCCAAAAAUUGUUCAAGGCAUUUUACAGCUAGUGGGUGAUAAUAUUUGCAGUGGCAAACCUAAAGAGAUGCCAGAGAAUGAUGAAAAAAGCCAGUGGUUACCCCUCCAGGGAGGGAGGAGGAUGCUGAUAUAGGAAAGAACCACAGACGGCGCUAAGGUGACCACCCCCUCGAAGGUGACGUGCAUCGUUUGUGGAGACCCUUUGUACACCUGAAAACCCCCUCACAGGCACCAAAGGUUUCAAUAUUUUCCUGUGUCUUUUAGAAGAAAAAAAGACAGCAAUAAUGAAUUGUCUGUGGACAGUUGUUCUCAAGUAAGCCUUCCCGGGAUCUGCAAGCAUCUUUCCAAGAGAGACCAGGUUCACAUCGUUGCAACAGUGAGGCUCGCAAAGCUCCCGUGAGAAGCUGUUCACAUGAACUGUGCCACCUUCUGACUGAUGUUGCUAAUAAAGAACAGAGGAGAAUCUGCCUGUCAAACUUGCCUCAAAGGAGGUCAUUGAGUUGUGAUUGGAUAUAUUAUAUAUUAUACAAUAAUUUAUUUUGACCCUAGGAGAGGUUCAUUUGAAAAAGGCCAUAAUACCUCUCUGCCCACUUUGGAGCAGAUUUUAGCUGGGGUCAAAGCCCUAACGUCUGCCUCUAUGAAAGGUUGCAGGCAGGGGGGCUGGGGCGUUCCUAUCUGCUC